AGCGAACGCUGGCGGCAGGCUUAACACAUGCCAGUCGAGCGGGCACUUCGGUGUCAGCGGCAGACGGGUGAGUAACACGUGGGAACGUACCCUUCGGUUCGGAAUAACGCUGGGAAACUAGCGCUAAUACCGGAUACGCCCUUUUGGGGAAAGGUUUACUGCCGAAGGAUCGGCCCGCGUCUGAUUAGCUGGUUGGUGGGGUAAUGGCCUACCAAGGCGACGAUCAGUAGCUGGUCUGAGAGGAUGAUCAGCCACACUGGGACUGAGACACGGCCCAGACUCCUACGGGAGGCAGCAGUGGGGAAUAUUGGACAAUGGGCGCAAGCCUGAUCCAGCCAUGCCGCGUGAGUGAUGAAGGCCUUAGGGUUGUAAAGCUCUUUUGUCCGGGACGAUAAUGACGGUACCGGAAGAAUAAGCCCCGGCUAACUUCGUG
rnacentral:rRNA from 1 species